rnacentral:rRNA from 1 species
UACGGAGGGUGCGAGCGUUGUCCGGAAUCACUGGGCGUAAAGGGCGCGUAGGCGGCCUGAUAAGUAGGGGGUGAAAUCCUGCGGCUUAACCGCAGGGCUGCCUUCUAAACUGUCGGGCUCGAGCACAGUAGAGGCAGGUGGAAUUCCCGGUGUAGCGGUGGAAUGCGUAGAGAUCGGGAAGAACAUCAGUGGCGAAGGCGGCCUGCUGGGCUGUUGCUGACGCUGAGGCGCGAAAGCGUGGGGAGCAAACAGG